rnacentral:rRNA from 1 species
UACAGAGGGUGCAAACGUUGCUCGGAAUUAUUGGGCGUAAAGCGCACGUAGGCGGUGUGUUAAGUCGGGUGUGAAAGCCCUAGGCUCAACCUAGGAAGUGCACUCGAAACUGGCACGCUUGAGUUAUGGAAGAGGGUCGGCGGAAUUCCCGGAUGUAGAGGUGAAAUUCGUAGAUAUCGGGAGGGAACAACCAGUGGCGAAGGCGGCGACCUGGGCCAAUGACCU